rnacentral:piRNA from 1 species
CUGGGAGAAGUGGACCUGCUC